CUCUGGGGUGGCCACAGUACCAGGUCCUCUCCGUGUCCACCUGGGAGGGCACACUUGUGGCUGCAGUCCUGAGUCACUCUGCCUGCAGAGCUCGGGGCAGACAUGAGAGGCAUUUGCUGGUGGAGGUGGGAAUGGGCACCUAGAUCCGCGGGCUUCCUCACCCUGGGUUGUGACAAUGCAAACGCAUGUUCUAUUCCUUCUCCCAGAGGUUCCUGGAUGCUGAGCCCACAGAGGCGACCUAUUCACCUCCCUUCCUGUCUCACUUCCUCAUUCCCUACUAGUGUUUCUGGGAUCACCUCCCAAAUAAAAUGCUUGCGCCCCAAGCCUUGUCUUCGCCCACCUAAGCUAGCCGCUGUACUGUGUGGGUGUUAAGAGCUUUAGAAUUAGACAGACCUGAGUUUAAAUCCUGGUGCUGCCACUGCCUUGUCUCUGACCUUGGGAACCUGCCCCCUCUCUUAGAACCUCAGUUCCUCCAUCUAUGAAAUGGGAACUUAGAAUCGGAGAACCAAGUGAUGAUGACAUGGACGGCGAGUUUGGCGUCACUGGAGCCGAGUUCCCAGCUGUGGGUCCCAUGAGGGAUGCUGGGUGCCAUCUCUGAAGGCUUUGGGGGUGGGGGGUGAGCAGCAGGAGUCCAGUGGUAGGGUAGACAGGGGAAGAGGGCAAGAGGGAACAGGCUGGAUGAAGAUGUGGAGGAAGAAUUGGCCAUGAGUCCUCUUCAGCCCUGUUUGGCUGGCAGGGGAGGCAGGACUUUGGGGCCCAUUCAGAUUCUGGCUCUGCCCCUUCAAGAAGUGACCUUGGGCAAGUCACUUCACCUCUCUGAGUCUAUUUCCUCCCCUGGGAAAUGGGGACAAGAAGAGGACCUAUCUCCUGGAUUGCUGGGGACAUUCUGUGCGAUAAAUCUGGUGAAAGUGCCCUGUACUCAGCAACAUGGCACCUGGCCGAAGAAGGUGCUCACCAAAGACUUGCAGAGUGGCUGAAUGAAUGAACGAACAAAUGUCAAGCGCUCAGCACCACACCUGGCCCAUGCUAAGCAUUCCAGCCCCAAUGUGGUGAAUGGUGUUACUCUCGGCAGUGGCUUCCCAGUGCCCCUUCACUCCCAGCUGCCUUAAAUCCUGCUCUCACCAGCCCUGCACUCCUGCUCUGUGCACCCGGCCCAGCUCCCUGCUGCCGGCAGUCUUGUCCCUGGGUCAGGGCGACCUCUGGGGAGUCAUAGGGCUGUGGGGCGGGCUCCCCCAGGCUCUGCCUCUGGCUCCUCUUACAUCCCUGGGGGGCAGAGGCUUCUGGGAAAUGGGCAGAGCAAUGCUUUGAAGCUCCCCUGGGUCAGACCCACCGAGCUCCUGGGCCUUCCUUCGACGUUGCCUGACGUGACCCUGCUAUUGCACAAAUGGGACAGUGAGACUAGAGAGGGGCAGCCGUGCUGGGUGGCUUGCCUUCGGGGCUCCCGAAGCGUUCAGGGUAGCUUUCAGAACAGGCCGCCUGUUUUCCAGAUGGCAAGACUGACUCUCGUAGAGGCUUUUAGACCAGGUUUGAAUCUCAUCCUCCCAUUUCCUGGCCGUGUGAUCUGAGGCUUGUCCCUUGGUCCCUCUGAGUGACAGUUUCCUUGUGUGUAGAAUGGCGUGCUAAUGGUUUCCAGCUCACCGAGGGCGGAGGGGUUUGGGAGGACAAGACCAGCCAUCUGGCCCACAUCUCGGGUCUUUGGCCCCUCCCCUGGGCCUCAGGUGUCCCGGCCCCGGAGCCCCUUGGGCCCUGGCCACUCUGGGGCCUGGCGCUGUGCCUCGUGGUUGGGGUGAUCCACAGUCCCAGGAGGCAGCUGCCGCCGCUGCUUGCUGCUUUCGUUUUUCCCUCCCCGAUUUCUCCCCUCCUCAUCCUGGCCUCCCUUCUCCAGAGCCAGCUUGUUUUUGUUUUCUGUUUUUACGGCUCCAUAAAUGAGUCACGAGCCUGAUUUGAUUUAAUUUCGUUGUAACUGUUAUCUUUUCAAGCUUGUUUUUUUCCACUCAGUUACUCACGAGACCACAAAACCUAAACAGGACGGGGCCUUCCCCAGCUUGCUGCCCAGCACCCACGGCAUGGCCUCCUGGGCCUCUGGGGCUCAGGGCCAGGGUCAGCAGCUCCUGGAGGACUGAAGUGGGGUCCGGGGGGCUGCUCGGGGGAGGGGCUCCAUGUGCUGUGCAGGGCUGCUGGUCUUGAGUCCCGGGGCAGUAGCCCUGAUCCGCAUGCUGUGUGACCCUGAAGUGUUGUUUAAGCUCUCUGGGCCCAAGUCCUCCUUGGCUAGCUUUAGAACAGGGAGUCAGAAACUCUGACAUCUCAGGGUUGGGAGGUGACAUGAUAAGGGAGGUGGGCUGGGUGGCGACUGCCAUGAACUGGAGAGAAUAGGCCCUUCUCAGGGGACAGCUGCCUCUUGGCCGGCACUCAGCCCAGAUCUUUCAAUUUAUCAAGUGAAGCCAGAAAUCUGAGGUCGUAUGUGAAAAGUCCUGAUUUUUAAAUGUUGGCCAAUGAAUCAAAUUAAAAACAACAAACAACCCAACUCUGUGGACACGUCUGGUUUAGAAGGUUCUAGAAGAGUCAGCCCUGCCCACACUCCAGCUGUGGCUGGAGUUCAUUCUCCCUCCACACCUUUGCCAAGCAGCUCCCUCUGCCUGGAACACUCUCCCCUCUUCCUCACCUCAUCGUUCUGGAUGGUGAGUGUGUCCCUGCUCUCCCGCAGCCCCCUGGGUGCCCCUGGUCACCAGGGGGUAGGGGAUCACCCUUCCAGUCAUUUCUCCCACUGUCAAUGAGCUCAGGAGGAUGACAUUAGGAGACAGCAAGGGGCUAAGGAAUGGGGGCUCAGGGGGAAGGGAGGACCCUGGCCAGGGGGAAGGAGGGGUUGAGGGCUGCUCCUCCAAGCUUGAGUAAGGCCAUAUGACCCGUGUGCACAAAUCAGGCGCAUCCAUGCCACUUUUAUGAAUCAGAAGUUGGAAAUGUUGGGGGUAGGGUGCAGGAGUCCAUUCUGGGGUGGGUGGGGCCACAGCUUCCUCUACUUUUCCACUGGCCUCAGUGGGCGGGCCAGUUCUAGGGGCAGCGACCAGGGCUCAGUGGUAGCCACAGUGCAGACUGAAUAAUUUUGCAGAAAUGCCUCUCUCCAUGUUAUUUAGGUUUGGUCAAAUGCAAUGAAAAGGACAUUGCACUCUGCCGUCAUGCAAUUUUGUUUAAAUAUAUUUAAAUAUCACUCGAUUGACUUUGUCCAUCGAAGAAUUUGCAUAAUUAAUUGUGAAGAGAAGAGAAAAACAAUAUAUUUUCACUUUUUUUUUAAACAUUGAAAAAUAGGGUCCCCGUCAAAUUUCUUUAAGGUGGAUCUUUAUUUUGAAAUUUUGGCCCUGAUUCUCAAUUAAUUCACAUUAUGUGGCUUUUUCCUGGGCCAAAUUGUUUACCUUUGAUUUCUGAGCUUCUGUGUGAGUUCUUCAGAUAUUCCCUCCCCUACACCACCAGGCGCAGCUCAUGUUCUGUGAGGGGUACCAGGAUCUCCAAUGCUGGGAAGCCCUGGGUUGUGUCCCAAGCUGGGCCCCAUCAUCCAUCACACCCACCAGUGGCCUCAGCCUUCCAACCUUCUGGCCCAGCCCCUGCCUCCCCUUCUGUCUUGCCCCCUGGCCUUUCUCUCUCUAAGCCAGGACCUGGGUGACCUUCAGCAGUCCUCCAGCCUGGAAUAGAACCUCAGAGGAUGCUCAAGGUCAUGGAGUCCUGGAAACAGAGAAUUCUUCCCUCCAGGACAAAGGAAUCCUGGCUUUCAGUCAACUAAGCCCCUGCAAUUCUAACAUUCUAAUGCUUGGGAGGCCUGUUAGACCCAGAUCCCUCAGUAGAUAUUUAUUGAGCAUCUAUUAUGUGUCAGGCACAUCAGUGAACAGAACUAGCAAACUCCCAGCCUUUGUGGCACUUACAUUUUAACAGGGGAGACAACCAAGAAACAAAUGAGUAAAAGAGCGUAUCAGAUGGUAAAAUCAGCGGUGAAGGGGGAUGAGGAGUACAGGGGCUACAGUGUCACAUGGCCCGUCACAGAAGGAACAGGAGGCUGGAGAAAAGUGAGGGGACCAGCCCUGCAGACAUCUGGGGCAGAGUGUUCCAGAUGGUGGAAUAGCAGAUGCAAAUGCCCUGAGGUGGGAAAAAUUUUGCAUUGUUGGGAAAUGAUAAGGAGAGCAAUCUGGCCGAGUGAGCAGGGGGGGAGGCCAGCGGGUCCCAGAUCAUUCAGGGCUGUUGGGGCCCCGGGGAGGAGUUUAGAUUUUAUUGCAAGUGAAGUGGGAGCCCCUGGAGGAUUGUGACACAGGAAGGGCAGGGUCUGACUUAGGUUCCGACACAGGCUUUUCCACCCUGGGCGCUCUGGGCAUUCGGCCAGCUUGUUCUCUGUUGUGGGGGUCUGUCCUGUACUCUGCGGGAGGCCGAAGCAGCAUCCCUGGCCUCUCCCUACUGGAGGCCAGUAGUGCUUCUCCCCGCACCCACUUGUGACAACUAAAAAUAGCUCCAGAUAUUGUCAAAUGUGCCCUGGGGUGCAAAAUUGCCCCCAGUUGGAAACUACUGGUCUAACAGGAUCCCUCUGGCUUAGAAUGAGGAGAGCAGGCUGUAGGCAUUCCAGGAAGGGCAAGGGAGUGGAGGGAGGGGAGAGGGGAGAAGCCCUUGGAUUCUGAGCCUAUUUUCAAGGUGAGGUGAGCAGGAUUUGUUGGCUUGCACCUGGAGAGCAAGAGGGAGAGGAGUCUACCUAGGGUGUUUCAAGAAAGGAUUCUGAGACUGAAGGAAGCCUUGGGAUCCCCGCUCCAGUACAAGGAUUGCAAACCCCAGGGCCAGGCAAGCCGCGCAGUGGUGAUGUGGCUGGCCAGAGGGGCUGGCCUGUCUCAAGGGUGGGCACUGCUCAGUUGCAGCCCAACGGCACCGUGCGGGAAGGCCAGGAUUUCCAGUUUUCCAUGAGAAACUGUAAAUCUGGAUUGACGUUUCUGGAGUUUUCAAUGUUGGGGAAAUCUACAAAUAUACAGGCCAGAUUUGUCCUGAGGGCCAUGCAUUUGACACUCCUGGCCCCCUCCAGCCCUCUCAUUUUGUAGCUGGGGGGUGCCCCAGAGGAGAAUCAGAGGGGUCGCUGCUGCCAGAAGGCGGCUUCCCCUGGGUGGUGAGGCUGGGAGCCAUCAGGGAGGGAGGUGGGGCUUGCACUCCACUCUGAAGAAGGGUAAGCUGCUGGCUCAAAAAGAGGAGAGGGCAUUCCAGGAGGUGGGGGAGUGUGCGCAAGGGUGUGGAAGGUGGGAAUAUGGAAUACUGGUUUCUAGGAGGAGGGAGAUAAGAAGAGAUGGAACCAGGAGGGAAGAGAAGGAGAUAAUGCGGGGUGGGGGUGGGGGCUGUUACCGGGAAAUAAACGAGGAGGCCAGACCAAAAGUGGGACUGGAAAAAUCACAAAAGGACUUUAAUAAUAUUAAUAAUUUCACUUCCGAAUUUGUUUGGCAACAAGCAGCUCAUUUAUUUUACCACUGACUUUGGUUUCUUGGCAAUCCCCAUGUACACCAGGGAGUGUUUGCCCAACAAGAAACAUUCUCGUUUUCAGAUUGUUUUCAAAUGGCACGAAAAUUUUCGUAAAUACUAAAUUAGGAAUUUAAUACUGAAUUGUGAAGUUUGAGUGGAUUAAUGAAAGAUUUGUUAAUUUCGAUUUAGCGGGUUUCUUUAAGUAUUUUAGAGACAAAAACAUUUCUUUUCCAAAUCUCCCUUGCAAAUUUUCCACCUCACAGCAGCCAAAAUUUGAGGUGACAUGUGCAAAAAUAGCUGAUGUGUAAUGAUAGAAAGGGGUAAGUGAGGUUUAGAGAGAAUCUGAGAGAAUGUGCUUUCAGAGGGGAGGAUCAGGGCAGGCUCCCUGGAGGAGGUGGUUUUGAACCCAACUGGCAAAGGAUGAGUGAAAUAUGGACCAGGCUGAUGGGUUAGGGUAAGUGAGGGCAUGCCAGGUGGAGGGCCCUGUGUGUGCAGGGGUGAAGGUGGGAAUCGUGGGGUGAGGGUCUGGACCAAGGGAGCCGGGGCUGGAGCUAGCAAUGGCAAGAGGCAGUACAAGAACCAAAGGGCGAAGCUGAGGCCUGUCAGGAGCACAGCCAGGCCCAAGAGCGAGAGUGUGAAGAAGAAUGAGGAGCUGACCUCCUCUGUUUAAAUUACUUGUGGUCCAGGAGGGUGGCAGAGAGCGUGGGUGCCUUGGCCUUCUGUCCGAGGCCUGGGGCCUCUUCCCCUCA